GGAUCCAGUAAUAAAGCAAGAUGAAGUAUCAUUGCCAAUGCUGAUUAGAUACAUAAACGUGGCUCUUCUCUGCGUUCAAGAGAAUGCAGCUGAUAGACCAAUCAUGUCGGAUGUUAUCUCGAUGAUUGAGAGUGAGCAUCUUAAUUUACCUUCUCCCAAAGAACCUGCUUUUACAAACAGUAAAAACAUGAAUAAUUCAUCUCAUUCCAGUAGUGGAACGUCCCAGUUUCAUUCUGUGAAUGAUGUAACUGUUUCAUUAAUCUAUCCUCGAUAGUCAUCUAUCUGGGCAGCAUCGAUUAUUUUGCUUCUUUGUUUGAUUUCUCUAUUUUCUCCAGUUUUAAACUUUUCCGGUGGUACUUCUUCCUUCUUUUUACAUAUUUCGACGAAGGAGGAGAAAACACAAAGAGAAAGGUAAAUUUUUUCCCUUCAUAUCACUCGGUGAUAUUUUCAUAUGAUAAGGCAUGUGAUAAAGCAUGUAUAAUUACAAUUUUAAAAGUUGUUAGUCAUACCGAAACAGAGAAUAUGGAAGCAAACUGGGAUCUGUUAGCAUUUGACAUAAAUAUGAGCAUUACAACAAGAACAAAUGAACUCUGUGAAGCAGAUGGAGAAGGAAAUGAUAAGAGCAAGGAUUCUUGGUUGCCAUUAUUCAGCUUGGCCAGUGUAUCUGCUGCUACAGAAAACUUUUCUACGCAAUGUAAGCUUGGAGAAGGUGGCUUUGGCCCUGUUUACAAGGUAGAAUUGUUGCUACCUCAAAUGUCCUUAAUGAAGUGCUGCUGGUGUAAAACAUUAACAAAAUAAAAAAAAAUGCAGGGUCGACUACUUAAUGGACAAGAAGUUGCCGUUAAAAUGAGAUAAUGAUUAUAGCAAAACUCCAUUACAGACACCUUGUCAGACUCUUUGGUUGCUGUAUAGAACAAGGCGAAAACAUUUUAAUCUAUGAGUACAUGCCUAACAAAAGCUUGGAUGUUUUCCUUUUCUGUAUGUGAUUUAUCAUUCACAAGAUUUAAGUAUUUCCACUACUUUCCAGUGCUCUGUCGAAUUUUAUCAUCUCCAUUUUUUUAACUUGUUAUCAUUUACGCUGAUCAGUAUUCAUUUUGGCAUUGCAACAGAUCCAAAGAAAAAGCGCCUGUUAGGUUGGCAAGCACGCGUUAGAAUCAUUGAAGGAAUUGCUCAAGGGCUAUUAUAUCUUCAUCAGUAUUCUAGACUAAGAAUUAUUCACAGAGAUCUUAAAGCAAGUAAUAUUCUCUUAGAUAGUGACAUGAACCCCAAAAUAUCAGAUUUUGGCAUGGCAAGAAUAUCUGGUGAUGAUGAGUUGCAGGGAAAUACUAAACGGAUUGCUGGAACUUAGUAAGUAAAACUCCAUUCCUGAAAAUGAUGUUUGCUUGUCCUGUUUUCUUAGAUCACUCAAUAUUAAUUGAAACAAUGGAAAUUUAGUGGUUACAUGUCACCUGAGUAUGCCCUGGAAGGCCUGUACUCCAUCAAAUCAGACGUGUUUAGUUUUGGAGUAUUAAUGUUGGAAACAUUGAGUAGCAAGAAGAACACUGGCGUCUACAAUAGUGAUUCCUCUAACCUUCUUGGAUAUGUAAGUGACAAAUUAUUUCACUUAUGUUCCAUCUUUAAUGUGUAAAAUAUAAAUUGGAAAUGUCAAAAAUUGCUCCUGUAAAUUAAACUAAUAUUGAUCAUGGACAUUUCUUUUCAGGCUUGGGGUCUAUGGAAAGAUGACAGAGCUCAUGAAUUGAUGGAUCCAGUAAUAAAGCAAGAUGAAGUAUCAUUGCCAAUGCUGAUUAGAUACAUAAACGUGGCUCUUCUCUGCGUUCAAGAGAAUGCAGCUGAUAGACCAAUCAUGUCGGAUGUUAUCUCGAUGAUUGAGAAUGAGCAUCUUAAUUUACCUUCUCCCAAAGAACCUGCUUUUACAAACAGUAAAAACGUGAAUAAUUCAACGUCCCAAUUGUGUUCCGUGAAUGAUGUAACCGUUUCAUUAAUCAAUCCUCGAUAGUCAUCUAUCUGGGCGGCAUCCAUUAUUUUGCUUCUUUG
rnacentral:lncRNA from 1 species